GACGAACGCUGGCGGCGUGCUUAACACAUGCAAGUCGAACGGUGAAGCGCCUUCCUUUUUGGUGGGUGUGGAUGAGUGGCGAACGGGUGAGUAACACGUGAGUAACCUGCCCCCUUCUUCUGGAUAACCGCAUGAAAGUGUGGCUAAUACGGGAUAUUCUGGGUCUGUCGCAUGAUGGGUCUGGGAAAGAUAUUGUUUCGGUGGGGGAUGGGCUCGCGGCCUAUCAGCUUGUUGGUGGGGUGAUGGCCUACCAAGGCGGUGACGGGUAGCCGGCCUGAGAGGGUGGACGGUCACACUGGGACUGAGACACGGCCCAGACUCCGACGAGAGGCAGCAGUGGGGAAUAUUGCACAAUGGGCGCAAGCCUGAUGCAGCGACGCCGCGUGAGGGAUGGAGGCCUUCGGGUUGUGAACCUCUUUCGCCAGUGAAGCAGGCCUGCCUCGUUUGUGGGUGGGUUGACGGUAGCUGGAUAAGAAGCGCCGGCUAACUACGUG
rnacentral:rRNA from 1 species